AAGUCGUAACAAGGUUUCCGUAGGUGAACCUGCGGAAGGAUCAUUCACACACGUUAGUCAUGUCGGCUGCUUUAAUUGGCGGCUGGCCUGCAACCCAAACCAAUCCAUCGAGCUACGUACAACCAUUAUAAUAACUAUAAAAGACAGGCGUUGGGUUGAGUCUUGCUCCCCAGCGCCGGGAACCCGUCAUAGCAUGAAUCGGGGCAACCUGAGUAAUUGUUAUGGCCAAAUAACUAGAUCUUCGGAUUUUAUCUAUCCUUCAUUCAUUUAUUUGGAUGGAUGGAUGGAUGGAUAGAACCGGGGGUCGACCCACACACCAACCAACCUGCACUGGCUUUUGCCUUAACAUUUUGUCGAAAUUUCAUUCGCUGGCGAAAGCUGGCAUUACGUAACCUUACACAACUCUUUGCAAUGGAUAUCUUGGUUCUC
rnacentral:misc_RNA from 1 species